rnacentral:rRNA from 1 species
ACGAACGCUGGCGGCGCGCCUCACACAUGCAAGUCGAACGAGCGAGAGAGAGCUUGCUUUCUCAAGCGAGUGGCGAACGGGUGAGUAACGCGUGAGGAACCUGCCUCAAAGAGGGGGACAACAGUUGGAAACGACUGCUAAUACCGCAUAAGCCCACAGGUCGGCAUCGACCAGAGGGAAAAGGAGCAAUCCGCUUUGAGAUGGCCUCGCGUCCGAUUAGCUAGUUGGUGAGGUAACGGCCCACCAAGGCAACGAUCGGUAGCCGGACUGAGAGGUUGAACGGCCACAUUGGGACUGAGACACGGCCCAGACUCCUACGGGAGGCAGCAGUGGGGAAUAUUGCACAAUGGGGGAAACCCUGAUGCAGCGACGCCGCGUGGAGGAAGAAGGUCUUCGGAUUGUAAACUCCUGUUGUUGAGGAAGAUAAUGACGGUACUCAACAAGGAAGUGACGGCUAACUACGUG